rnacentral:rRNA from 1 species
GAUGAACGCUGGCGGCGUGCCUAAUACAUGCAAGUCGAGCGAACAGACGAGGAGCUUGCUCCUCUGACGUUAGCGGCGGACGGGUGAGUAACACGUGGAUAACCUACCUAUAAGACUGGGAUAACUUCGGGAAACCGGAGCUAAUACCGGAUAAUAUAUUGAACCGCAUGGUUCAAUAGUGAAAGACGGUUUUGCUGUCACUUAUAGAUGGAUCCGCGCCGCAUUAGCUAGUUGGUAAGGUAACGGCUUACCAAGGCAACGAUGCGUAGCCGACCUGUGAGGGUGAUCGGCCGCACUGGAACGGAGACACGGUCCAGACUCCUACGGGAGGCAGCAGUAGGGAAUCUUCCGCAAAGGGCGAAAGCCUUACGGAGCAACGCCGCGUGAGUGAUGAAGGUCUUCGGAUCGUAAAACUCUGUUAUUAGGGAAGAACAAAUGUGUAAGUAACUAUGCACGUCUUGACGGUACCUAAUCAGAAAGCCACGGCUAACUACGUG